rnacentral:rRNA from 1 species
GAUUGUUCACCCACCAAUAGGGAACGUGAGCUGGGUUUAAACGGUCGUGAAACAUGUUAGUUUUACCCUACUGAUGACAGUGUCGUAAUAGUAAUUCAACCUAGUACGAGAGGAACCGUUGAUUCGCACAAUUGGUCAUCAUGCUUGGUUGAAAAGCCAGUGGUGCGAAGCUACCGUGUGCUGGAUUUUGACUAAAUGCCUUUAUGUCAGAAUCUAGGCUAGUGUGGUUGGUGAAGCCCACGCUACGGACGAGCCGCACGGGCCGCCUUGAAGUACAAUUCCUAUCUCGAGCGGCGGGUAGAAUCCUUUGCAAACGACUUAAAUAUGCGACGAGGUGUUGUAAUUGGCAGAGUGGUCUUGCUGCCAUGAUCUACUGAGAU